rnacentral:rRNA from 1 species
CACCGCGGUUAUACGAGAGGCCCAAGUUGACAAACACCGGCGUAAAGUGUGGUUAGGAUUUUUCCCACUAAAGUCAAACACCCCCAGAACUGUUAUACGCUCCCGGGGGCAGGAAGCUCAACAACGAAAGUGACUUUAAACCUCCGACCCCACGACAGCUAUGACA